rnacentral:lncRNA from 1 species
CUCUCUCUCUCUCUCUCUCUCUCUCUCUCUCACAUUUGUUUGUUUGAGGCUCUUCUAGUUUAAAACCUCGAUUGGCAAUGCUGACAACAGCUCAUCUUGAAGAGAAUGGUGUCUUGUUGUUGGAGUCAAAUAAUAUGUUCAGGUAAAUGAUCCUUCACACUUUGUUUCUUUCUUUCCCUCAUACGUACGCAAAAGAUUAAAUGCUGAUGCUUAGACUAAUACUCACCUCCAUAACGACUAAUCCUCUACAAAAACAAAUGAUAUAUAUAUAUAUAUAUCUGUUUCUUUCACAAUGUCAAUGCAUCACAUUAAUUGGGGAUAUGACAAACUGUAUUGUUUGAUGGUGAUUGAUCUUGCAGGUGAAGUUUAGGGUUUCCACGGAGCCAAUGCAAAUUCUACGCAAGGUUUGGUAAAUAGAUAAGGUAGUAAGGAUCGUCGUUUCAGAACCUUUCGAUUUUUGCAUCGCAAGAGUAGCCAUCGAUCUAACUUAAAG